UACGUAGGGUGCGAGCGUUAAUCGGAAUUACUGGGCGUAAAGUGUGCGCAGGCGGCAGAGCAAGUCGAGUGUGGAAGCCCCGGGCUCAACCUGGGAAUUGCGAUGGAGACUGCAAGGCUUGAAUCUGGCAGAGGGGGGUAGAAUUCCACGUGUAGCAGUGAAAUGCGUAGAGAUGUGGAGGAACACCGAUGGCGAAGGCAGCCCCCUGGGUCAAGAUUGACGCUCAUGCACGAAAGCGUGGGGAGCAAACAGG
rnacentral:rRNA from 1 species